rnacentral:rRNA from 1 species
AACUCUUAGCAGUGGAUCACUCGGCUCGUGCGUCGAUGAAGAAUGCAGCUAGCUGCGAGAACUAAUGUGAUUUGCAGGACUUCUUUUGACAGUAAAUUGUGCAACAAAGAGUUGUUUUUGUCAAUAAUCAAAAAGGUAAACCGAGAUAAA